rnacentral:lncRNA from 1 species
AAAGGGCCAUUCCUUGCUUGCUUGAAUUUUGGAAGAAAGUACAUGUUUUCACCAAAUCCAUCUCACAAACCAUGCUUUGUACCAUGACAUAGCAGAUUUUAUUCAUCAUAUUUUCUGUCAUUUGAGUACACUACUUGCAGCCAUAACACAACCAACUUCACUCAUGCUAAAGACUUGAUUCUUGGUUCUGUCCAAAAACAAAAAAAAAACAACACCAAAACAGAAAAUCUUAAUAGCAUUUUCUGUCAAAAAUGAAACCAGUAGCAGCAGCAUCAAUUGCAUCCAUCUAACAUAGAAAAAACAUGGUUCUCUCAUUCAUGCUAAAACUCAUUUCUUGGCCAUUUUCUCAAAAUCUUCCAAAAAACCUCAAGUAACCUAAGCAAGCUUGGUUGGUUUUCUUCAUCCAAGCAACAUCAAACAGCAAAUCAAAACUUCAUUUCCUGUCACUGAAAAACCUC